rnacentral:rRNA from 1 species
CACGUAGGGGGCAAGCGUUGUCCGGAAUUACUGGGCGUAAAGGGCUCGUAGGCGGCCAACUAAGUCAGACGUGAAAUCCCUCGGCUUAACCGGGGAACUGCGUCUGAUACUGGAUGGCUUGAGGUUGGGAGAGGGAUGCGGAAUUCCAGGUGUAGCGGUGAAAUGCGUAGAUAUCUGGAGGAACACCGGUGGCGAAGGCGGCAUCCUGGACCAAUUCUGACGCUGAGGAGCGAAAGCCAGGGGAGCAAACGGG